rnacentral:lncRNA from 1 species
CUAACUAUACGGAGCUUUGAGAUGUAUCUUGGUUGUAGUAGAUUCAUUACAGAAAUAGAAUAUACACCUAAAUAAGAUUUAUCACCUUAAUAGUAAAGGAGAAGUCCUAUGCAAUUUAUGAGACUGAGUUCAGAAAGUUUUUGAUCAAAGCAAGUGUGAAUACUGAAAAAGAAUUUUCAUAAAAAUUCAUAAAUGAACUCGAGUCAA